rnacentral:tRNA from 1 species
GGAGGGGUGCCGGAGCGGUUGAACGGGCACGCCUGGAAAGCGUGUGUCCGCCUGAGGCGGACCGUGGGUUCGAAUCCCACCCCCUCCGCCA